CAUGAUUAGCCUAGCUAGGAUUGUUUAGAGGGUAGUCGCAGUCGCCCCAACUCCGACUUGCAAAAAACUUUGUUUUGUAAGUAGGGUGAGAAACAACUUUUUGUUGGAAACUUUAAUCUUUUUAAGAGAUUAGAGAACUGU
rnacentral:ncRNA from 1 species